rnacentral:lncRNA from 1 species
UCAUUGCCUCAUUCUUGGUAUGGUGGCACCUUCAAAAGCAAUCUUCUCAAGUAAAAACAGCUAUAAACGAAUAUAAGUGUGAUACAAAUAAUGAUCAGAGCAAAGAACAAACGUAAGUCUAAACGAUAUACAAACGUACCACAACGUAACAUUAUGAAAGUAACAUGUAUCCAAAUAAACAGCCGUAACAUUACGUAACAUUAAGAAAGUAUUACGUAAAAAAUAAACAAAUGUAACAUUACACAACAUAACAUAACGUUACUUAUCCAACUACACAAGCGUAACACUACGAAAGUAUUACGUAAACAAAUAAACAAACGUAACAUUACAAAACAUAACGUAAUUUUACGUACCCAACUUCACAAACGUAACAUUACAAAGGUAUUUGGUAUUCAGAUAUAACACGUCAUAAUGAACGUAUUAAGUAUUCAAAAUAUAUAAAUGUAACAUUAUGAACGUACCAUCAGCAAAUAUCCAUUUGCCUCCAUGUACGACUUUGAACCAAUCCCCAACUGAGUUGUGAUUUUAACUAGGUGUCUGCACUAGUUAUACUGGGUAGGAUCCUGGGAAGCAUCGAUCAUGAAAAUAGCCAAAUGAUCCAAGGUGGUGGAUCUGCUGCCAAGUGGUUUGAAGAGAAAACCCACAACGAAAAUGAUGAACAACUAAAUCCAUAUGUUGUCGUCCUUCUCCUUCUUCAUUCUACUAGUAAGAUCUGACAAAACUCCCGAUAUUAAGAUUAACCUCCUCUGCCCAUUCACAAAUUUUUUCAUCUGGAUAGCAAAUGUAGCCACAUAUGAUAUAUUCACCAUGAGGAAGAUUGUACAUCCGUCUGACAUCAUCUUCAGUCGGAGUUAUAGUCUUCCUUUCGGGAAGACUUAGAGUAGCAGUGGGACAAUCAAAAUUCUAAUUUAUAAACUGAAGAAUAUCAUAUCUGAAACUCAGAAUAGAUAGGAACUCAAAAAAACCGAAACCACAGUCCUUGAUCAACUGUUUACGAAUAAGUGAAGCCAACUUUCAUAUGCCACAGAUCUUCCAUGGACUGCAUCUCGUGUGGACAAUAGAACUGGAGGAUUCUACUUCAGCAUUUCGAACAGGCCCCGCCUUACCAAAGAUCGUUCCUCUUCUCAGCCUCGAAAUGCUUGUUUGAUAUUU